UAAUAAAGGAGUGAAGUUAUAAACACAGUGCCUAGCACAGGGUCUGGGGCGCAGUUCUUGACUACCAUCCAAAGAAGGACCAGAGCAGGACAGGGCUUCCUGCCUGCAGAUGCAGCAAUGUGUUCAAAAAGGUUUUACUCAAACGUGACAGGAGUAGAAAUGGGGAAAAUGUCCAGAGAAGCCAGUAUAACUGGAGAAGACCAGAAAUGGCAGAAAUGCUACCCUCAGCCCAGGAGAGGACAACCACUCAGUAGGAGGACCAUUACACAGUAGGAGAGGACCACUACUCACAGAGGAGAACACUGUGAGGGGGACCUGGAAGGAGCAGACGCAACAACAGCAGCCUUAGGAGGAAACAGAACUCCACAACAGCCUCGGACUUCUUUCCCAAGCAGAGCCUCCUCUUGGAGGGGGUAUUCAUCUGCAGAAGUGCUGAGAGCCUGGAGGUGAUCACCUGCCCAAAGGAAGUACAGCAGGUUCAGCAGCAGCCUGUAGGCUCCAGGCCUGGCGUCCAGUGCCUCCUGCGCGCCCCCAACGAUGAUGGCAAGCAAGUUCCCGCCGCCCUUCCUGGACAGAAUGUGAUCGGCACUCACCUUUUCUGAUGAGACCAGCCCUGGGGAGAGAGCAAGGUGUCCACCAACAGGGCUUGUCUGGACAAACCGGGAAUGAGGCACACAAGGGACACUACAGCCAGAGAGGAUUAUGAAACAAGCUGAGAUCACAUGUCAAGUGAGCAGCCAGGAGCAGGACAGUGAGUGCAGGGCACGGCCA
rnacentral:lncRNA from 1 species